rnacentral:rRNA from 1 species
CAUGCAGGCGGUCAGGCGCGUUUUGUGUGACAGCGGAGGGCUCAACUCUCCGAGCAUACGAAAGACGGUUUGACUUGAGGGCUCGAGAGGGACACGGAAUUCCGGGUGGAGUGGUGAAAUGCGUAGAGAUCCGGAGGAACACCGAAGGCGAAGGCAGUGUCCUGGCGAGUGACUGACGCUGAGGUGCGAAAGCCAGGGGAGCGAACGGGAUUAGAUACCCCGGUAGUCCUGGCCGUAAACGAUGACCACCAGGUGUGGGAGGUAUCGACCCCUUCUGUGCCGUAGGGAACCCAUGAAGUGGUCCGCCUGGGGAGUACGGUCGCAAGAUUAAA